rnacentral:rRNA from 1 species
GACGAACGCUGGCGGCGUGCUUAACACAUGCAAGUCGAACGGAAAGGCCUCUUCGGAGGUACUCGAGUGGAGAACGGGUGAGUAACACGUGGGUGAUCUGCCCUGCCCUCUGGGUUACGCCUGGGAAACUGGGUCUAAUACCGGAUAGGACCGCACUUUUGCGUGAGUGGUGGAAAGUUUUUUCGGUGUUGGUUGAGCACGCGGCCUAUCAGCUUGUUGGUGGGGUAAUGGCCUACCAAGGCGGCGACGUGUAGCCGGACUGAGAGGGUGAUCGGCCACAGUGGGACUGGGAUUGAGACCAGACUCCUACGGGAAGGAGCAGUAGGGGAGGGUGCACUAGGGGCGUAAGCCUGAUGCAGCUGCGCCGCGGGGGGGAGGACGGCCUUGUGGUUGUAAACGCCUAUCGCCAGGAGCGAAGCGGUUUGUGACGGUACCUGGAGAAGAAGCACCGGCUAACUACGUG